rnacentral:rRNA from 1 species
AUUGAACGCUGGCGGCAGGCCUAACACAUGCAAGUCGAACGAGUGGCGGACGGGUGAGUAAUGUCUGGUAAACUGCCUGAUGGCGGGGGAUAACUACUGGAAACGGUAGCUAAUACCGCAUACCAUCAGAUGUGCCCAUAUGGGAUUGGCUUGUUGGUGGGGUAACGGCUCACCAGGGCGACGCUCCCUAGCUGGUCUGAGAGGAUGACCAGCAAAUCUGGAACUGAGACACGGUCAAGACUCAUACGGAAGGAAGAAGUGGGGAAUAUUGCACAAUGGGCGCAGGCCUGAUGCAGCAAGGCCGCGUGUAUGAAGAAGGCCUUCGGGUUGUAAAGUACUUUAAGCGGGGAGGCGUUACCCGCAGAAGAAGCAACGGCUAACUCCGUGCCAGCAGCCGCGGUAAUAC